AAAAGCCAUGCACAGUUCUACAAUAAAGUGAAAUGUGUCCUUGCAGAUCCGAGAACUCACAAAUGGAGCAAUGUGUAUUUUAGCCAACCUGAGCUUCGGGUGACCUGUGGUUAGUGCUAAGGGGACUCCAUAUAAGGAGAAAUUUGCGCAAGGAAGGACAUCUACCAGACCCACCUAGGAUAAGGGGACAGAGGGAAAACCCAACAAGCCCAGAGUGAACAAAGAAGAACAUAACUGCCCUGUGACCUUCUGCCAUGAUGUCUGAGGCCCUCAUCUGAAAAUUGUUAGUUGUUCAUCUCUGGCAUGUUCCUUUUAAAAUUCAGUGAUAAUAAAAAUGGAUUUUAUCAUAUGGCAACAACCCAUGUAAUGGAACUUGUCUAAGAAGAAUCAUAUGGUAUCGUGUAUGGAGAUAGAAUCUGUUAACAUCUGCCACAAGUGAAUUAUGACAGUGAGAUCCUUGAUUGAAGCUACCAGUCAUACCAAAAGAGCUUCUAACCUAUUGUCUCACCCCAGAAUAACUGAAGCUGCCUGUCACAUAGAAGCUUUUAAUUCACCAUCUUACCCAAUAAACAUGGAAGCCAUCUACCACCAGAAUACCUUUAUCAGAUCUUGAAGACGGCAUUUAUUGCAAUGAAUACUUCUUUUCCGUUUCUCUGAUUUUUCAUAUCCACCUUCAAUUUCAAAUUCUCUCACAGUUAGCCACUCUCCAUUGUCGGUCUUUAUACUUUUCAUAUGGGUGUCAGUAAGAUCAAGGUCAGCUAAAGAGCCAGCUAUGUAAAAACAUGCUCUUGCUCAUAAUAUCUUGGAUCUGGGGCUGAGAGUUAGGCUCAGGAGGAUGUGCAUUUCCUUCUCAGUUAUCAGAGGCCACACACCCAUCCUGAUAGGCAAGGACAGAGAAUGACUACCACUGAUGUUAUUCUUUAUGCUUUUCCUAAAAAGAAUUCGUCUAUUUUCUGUGUAUUGUUGUUUUGUCUGUCAGAGUGUCUGGGUACACAAUCUUUCCUUAUUGUCCACAGAAGCCAGAAAAAUGGCACUGAAUCUCCUGGAACUGUAGGAAUAGAUGGUUGUGAGCCAAGUGUAGUUGCUGAAAAUUGAACCUGGGUCCUCUGUCGUUAAGCACCCGGACUGUUCUUCCAAAGUUUUCUCUCCAGCCUUUGACAUUACCUUUAAAAGCAUUCUACUGUAAUGUUAAAAGAUUGUCAAAAGGAAUGACUCUAAAAUGUGACCAGGAUUCGCACUCUUUCUUUUCCUGUGACCCAGUGUUGAUGUACUUUGCAUUUCAGAAAUGUGAGUGAGGGCAGAAAAUUUCCUGCUGGAGUUACCAGUUUUAAGAUCACUUUUCUUACAGAUUUUUAAUCAUACUCAAUUUUUUAAAGAAUAGUUUUAAAAAUAUUUAAAUUUGUGAGGCUGUGUGACAUUUGUGCUAAUAAAAUGUUUCAUGUAGUAAUGAUAAUAGCUUUAAGUAAUAAUUUAAAUUCUCAUCUCAGGACUUACAGAUUGUUCAUGAGA